ensembl:lncRNA
CGGAGCCAGAGAGCAGCGAUUAUCAGACCAUAGAUGGUCGGCACACCUGGUAGUAGCUCUGGCUGCUGUUGAUCUUGUUUUUGGAGUAAAACACGGUGGAAGCUGAAUUAGUGAGGAUGACUCCUGCUCCUGUCAUCUCUAAGCUCCUCACACAUCUUUACCUGCACAUGAGGAAAAUCACUCCUGUAGAAUGCAGAUGUUCAGAGGGAGAUGAUGCCACAUCUGGUCCAGCAGAUGGAAGGUCUUGAAGUUCUCUGACUGGCCUCGACUGAAGAUGGUCGUCUCACUGGAUUUAAGAUGCACAAUGAGGGACGUCUGCAGAGACUGAGAAAGAGUCUCACCACAUCCUGACAUGAGGAAAAAGACUUUAUUGAAGACUGCAAUGAGAAAAACUGUCAGACAGCAGACGGCUGCAUUCAAGAGAGGAAGACCAUCAAACAUCCACGUCAGCUGAUGGAGGUCCAAGAGUCUCACCAAACAAACAACCUACAGAGUGAAGACCUCAAAUCUGAUUGGACGGCCUCCUAUUCAGCCACAUGUGUGAACAAAUGCUUCUAAGCUGAUUUGUUUUCUAAAAUAAAU